UCAGGAGAAAGCCACACCCACAACUCACACACAUGGUGGGGGAGUAAAAGUUAGGUUGAAGAUUUUUCAUGUAAAUACAAUUCAGAGACAAAGAUAUUCAAAAGCAUUUGAUACAAGCAAGGGAGCCUGGUGACUAGAAGAAACUGGAGAAACAGAACUGAACUCGUCCCCACGGUCAGAGAUUAAAACCUGGCUGGGGGAUGGUGGUUAUCUCAGGAUAUAAAACUUAAGGGGGUUGGGAGUUGUUUAUUCAACAAAGAUGUGUUGAGCAGGUCGCCCAUGCCAGUCACAGUGUCAGGAUGCUGGGGAGACGACGAGAAAGAGAACAGACCACCUGUCCAGAUAAUUUGCCUUUGGAGUCUGCAGGGCUGGUGAAGGCAUCCUGAGAUGGGGGAGGCCCCUGGGGACCUCCACAGUCAGGGCUCCCACCUCCUCUCCCACACCGCUCUGCCUCAUGCCCUGGGUUGCCUGUCUGACUGUCUCAAGACUGGGGGUUCUCCGGUGAGCAGAUGGCUGCUUAGCGUCUGAGGGGCAGACACCAUGCCGUGGUGACAGCGUGAUCCCUUGAUGGAAAGGCCACCAGAACCACUGGUAGUGCAGCUGGACACUGCGGAGCCCUGGGACCACACCCGCUGCCUCCCUCCAGACUCCUUAGGUCUAUGCCGUGUGCCUGGCUUUUUCCAACCACUCCGAAUUGAUCAUUUCCUAAUGACCACAUGGCUCAGAAACUCACAGCACAUCCUUCUAGGGGCCUCUUUCUCCCAAGUCCUCCCAGGGACUUGGCAGCUUCAUCUCUAAGGCCUGCAGAGGCUGUGGCUAUGGCUGUCCAUUGUUCUCGCUCCUUGGCUUCAGUUCAGAGCCAUCAAAUCCCUGCAGCUCGCACACUGGAACAUUCAUAUUUUGGAUAAGGCCUUUGCUGUCAGUGGAAUACAGCAACACACAAGACAGACACAGUUGCCUUCCCGCUGAGGCUGGACGUCUACAAAGAAACUCUGGACAGCUAUUUGCCAAGGCGAUGGGCACUACAGAUGAGACGCACAAAUGAUAUGACUCAUGGGUGACGCUGGGCAAACCUCGGUGGUUGAGUCCUGUUGGGUUUUCUCAUAGGAGGUGCUUCCAGGAACAUUCUUGUGCAAGACCGUGUGAGAGUAUCUCCAAGAUAGACAAGUGGAAGUGAAAUUCUGGGCCAUAGUGGAUGAACACUUGCCAAGAGGUGUUGACAAAUUAGUCUUAAAUGAACCUGUACUGCAUUUUAAGGCCUGGGAGCUCUUAGUGGCCCCAUCCUUUCCAAAGCUUGUGUGGUUGGCCGAGUAAUGUCUUCCAAGAUGUCCAAUUCCCAAUCCCUGGAACUUCUGAAUGCUAGCCUGUAUGACAAAAGAGACUCUGAAGCUGGGAUUAAGUUAAGAAUCUUGAGUGGGGAGAUUAUCCUGGAUAAUCCAAAUGGGUCCUUAUAAGAAAGAGGCAUGAGAUCAGAGAACCAGAAGGUGAUGUGAGGAUGGAAUCUAAGAGAGAGUUGAGGAUGCUGUGGCUGCUGGCUUUGAAGGUGCAGGAAGGGCCAUGAGCCAAGGAAUGUGAGAAAUGGAGCUGGAGUUGCCAGAAAAGGCAAGAACAGGGAAUCUUCCUGAGAGGCUGCAGAAGGAGCCAGCUGUGCAACACCUUGACUUUAGCCCAGCGAGACUGUUUUCCAACUUCUGAGCUCCAAAACUAAAUUGGAGGCAGAAGGUUACCAACAUUGCCUGGUGUCCAGCCAGGAGGUAGAGCGUGGUGGCAUCCAGAACCUUCCUCCAACUCCUGCCUGGCGUGGUUUUUAUUCAUCUUUGUAUUCCCAAGAAACUUCUCAGUGUCUCAGGAGUGUUAGGCACUCAAGCUUUCCAAGGUGAAAGUGUUGGACACUCUUUCUUCAUCUCAGAUUUAAUCAACUAAGAAUGCUGCAAAUUGAACACCAGUCCACAAAACUCAGGAAUACAUGAAAAGCAUUGUGCCUUAUUUUUAACUAACUCAAAUUCUAUGUCAGUCUCCCUUUUAUGCUGGAUGUUGGCGCUAAAUCUCAGUGGGUUCCUCAUUCUGCCAGACCUGUGUCCAGUUUGGGGGCUUCACAUAGAGCCACCCCAUCACAGGAGAGGGAAGGGUCUUGCUCUUGGUUGCCAUCACUCCACCCUCUUGUCUUCCGAGCUUUGAUGUUCACUUUCCUUUUCACCACUCGGAAGCUUCCUGCCAUGAUACAUUGAGACCUCAAUGUUAAUGCCAAUUGGGGUUUGGGGUUCUCAUAAACUCAGAAGUCCAGGAAAAUCGCCUGCUGCCUCCCACAACACUCUGAGGGCAUUCUGGAAUCCUACCACUUACCUGGAGCCUGCUGGCCUCAACUGUUUUGAAGUCUGUGUCUGGGCCAUGCAGGUAAAUGGGAGGAUGUUCUGUGGCCAUAAAAAUACCCGAAGUCCCACCUAAAGUUGAUGCAGGGUCUUCUGCAUUUCAUUGCAAAAUUGUUCUAUCAUUUCUAUAGUUUUCAGCCUACAGUCAGGGGCCAGGACUUUGCACCCUUGGUAAACCUCAAUCUCUUCUCCUUCCUGGCUUCUACUCCUUUCUCCCUCAAUCCCAAAUCAAGGCCCUUGAUUGUCUGGAGGUAGGAAAGCCUGGUUCUGGCUCAUGAUAUAGUCUACAUCAUAGCCUUUGUCAUCUCAUGGAUUCACUCAACAACCGUGUGUGGAUGGGGCCACCCAAUAUGUGCCAGGAGUUGAGGACACGCAGGGUUAUGAUGAUGAAAUAGAUAAGGGGCCCACACUCACGGACCCUGCAGGACAGUGGAGCUGUGGACCCAGCAUGCGAGUAAAGACCCAGUGAGCUCACCAGACAGAUCAUUUAAAUCAGGUGAUAGGACAGUGAAGGGCGGGGGCUGCAUUAGUUUUGGUGGCAAGAGAAGGAUUAUCUUCUGAGAGGAUCCACAAAGUAAAGAGGGCCGGUAUGACUGGGUAGAGUGAGGACCGUGGUUGAGGCAGAAGAUGGAGCUCUUUAUUGAGCUCUAGGGAGCCCGUCGGAUGGGACCUACGGGGCUUGAGGGAGCCCAUCGGAUGGGACCUACGGGGCUUGAGGGAGCCCAUCGGAUGGGACCUACGGGGCUUGAGGGAGCCCAUCGGAUGGGACCUACGGGGCUUGAGGGAGCCCAUAGGAUGGGACCUACGGGGCUUGGCGGACUUAAUUUUAAAUGUGGAAGAAGCCAUUGCAGAGCCUGAACCUGAGGUGUGGCAUGGUUCGAGUUACUUCAAACCAAAUUUAUUGAAAUCUCUUUGCAUAAAAUGCAAUGCGUAGAUCUUAAGAGUAUAGUUCAAUGAGAUUUGAUAAAUGUAUGCACCAGUGUAACAACUCCUCCAGUCAAGAUAAAGAAACGUCCCUCACUAUUUCCUCAUGCCCCUUCAUAGUCAAUAUCUGAUCCACUCAGCCUAGGCAACCAUUGAUCUGCUUUUAUCACCAUAGAUAUUUGGGUAUGAGUCUUUGUAUGAUCAGCUAUUUUUAUGUUGCUUGGGUAAAUAUUUAGGAAUAGAACUGCUGAGGCCAAGGAUAGAAUAUUUAACUUGAUUGCCGACUGUUUUUCCCAAGUGGUUGUACCACGUUCUGCCUCCACCAGCAUGUGUGAGUUUCCAGGGCUUCUUGUCCUUGCCAGAUACCAGGUGGUUGCAUGCCGUGUCCCAGUGGCUGUUGGGAAUCACAGUAGCUGGGCCCAAGAUGACUCUGGAGGACUUUACAUUUGCGCCCAUCUGUGGGUCCUCCUAUGCCAGUGUUUCCCAAAGCAUGGGCCAUGCGCAUUAUUCUUUCCAAAAUGAUGUCAUAUGGUGCAUAGGAAUGUCAUGGAAUACAAUGGAAUCACUCUGGAAGGAACUUUUCCCUUCUCAGGUGUUGUUUGAAUAUUCCUGAUGUGAUCGAGGAGAUUAACUGCUACUUAACAUCUCUGCACCGCUUGCUAAACUCCUUGUUAAAAUUAUGCUUUUUAUUUUGAAGGAGUUCUAGAUUCACAUGCGUUGUAAGAAAUAACAGAGAGAUUGCAUGUACUCUUCACCCAGUUUCUCCCAAUGGUAACAUCUUGCGAAACUAUGGUGCAAAAUCAAAACCAAAUCUCUUUUUAUAACAAAGAGAGGGUUCCCACCUCAAGCUCAGAUCCUUCCCUGUGUAGCUAGAACUUAGUAACAGUGUUUUAUUUUAUUAUAUUCAGUUUCAAGGGUUACAUUCUAUUUAUAACAAAUGAUACUGGUUUUCCCUUUACAAUAAUGAUAAAAUUUUAUUACUGAGUAAAUUGAUUUAUGUUUAAAAAUUGAGUUAUUUUAAAGAAUAUAUUAUAUAAAUGAUUGUGCUAGCUGUAUGAAAAUGAAAGUGAAUGAUACA
rnacentral:lncRNA from 1 species